rnacentral:rRNA from 1 species
UACGUAGGGUGCAAGCGUUGUCCGGAAUUAUUGGGCGUAAAGAGCUCGUAGGCGGUCUGUCACGUCGGCUGUGAAAACCCGGGGCUCAACCCCGGGCCUGCAGUCGAUACGGGCAGACUAGAGUGCGGUAGGGGAGACUGGAAUUCCUGGUGUAGCGGUGAAAUGCGCAGAUAUCAGGAGGAACACCGGUGGCGAAGGCGGGUCUCUGGGCCGUAACUGACGCUGAGGAGCGAAAGCGCGGGGAGCGAACAGG